rnacentral:rRNA from 1 species
AUUGAACGCUGGCGGCAGGCCUAACACAUGCAAGUCGAGCGGAGCGGCGGACGGGUGAGUAAUACCUAGGAAUCUGCCUGAUAGUGGGGGAUAACGUUCGGAAACGGACGCUAAUACCGUAUACUAUCAGAUGCGCCUAGGUCGGCUGAGCUAGUUGGUGGGGUAACGGCUCAACAAGGCGACGCUGCCUCGCUGGUCUGAGAGGAUGACCAGCCACACUGGAACAGAGACACGGUCCAGACUCCUACGGGAGGCAGCAGUGGGGAAUAUUGCACAAUGGGCGCAAGCCUGAUGUAGCCAUGCCGCGUGUAUGAAGAAGGCCUUCGGGUUGUAAAGUACUUUCAGCGGGGAGGCGUUACCCGCAGAAGAAGCACCGGCUAACUCCGUGCCAGCAGCCGCGGUAAUUC